GCUAAGAGCUCCGGUUGUAGCUGCUGGAGCUUGAAGUUAGCUACGGAUGCUUGUAGCAGCUGCUAAGAGCUCCGGUUGUAGCUGCUGGAGCUUGAAGUUAGCUACGGAUGCUUGUAGCAGCUGCUAAGAGCUCCGGUUGUAGUUGCUGGAGCUUGAAGUUAGCUACGGAAGUUUGUAGUAGCUGCUACGAGUGUAGGCCGUAGCGAACCUCCAGCCCAGUGCUGCCGUGGGAAAAAAAUCAGCGGCACAGUACUAACGGGAGGACACGCGAGCGGGGGUGGGGGGGAAGAGCGUGGAGAGCACAACACUCACGAACCUAACUUCCAGCUGCAGCUGCUGCUAUGGCCGCUCGUUCAAGAUACCGGAGCAAGCACAUCGGUUCACGGUGCUAGGCUACAUCACGUAGCAUGCCAGACGGACCCACCAAAGAUGCGCAAACAUGGAACGCAGCUUUCUAUGAAAACACUGCGACCUCACUACAAAAGUACAGGCACACAGAAAACUGUGCUGCACUGAUGUCGGUGUUGGGACCUCAGCUGUAAGAGACCUUGCUUGGAGGAGGGAGAGGACAAGAUGUGACAUUACAUGGAUAACCUGUUGGACCUCAUCUUUCACAAGGUUUUUCAGGACCCGGCCCCAUAUGUGAAUGAGGUGCUGAAGAUCUCAAAACCUGAGGAUCUCUCUGCCUAGUAUGAGAAACCUGACAAGCAGGAAGUUAUAGCCAGCUAUGUGUCGAGUUUCAAUCAAGGGCAGGUCUGAACCCUGUAUAACUUCCCUGAGCAUCAGGGAACACUCUGCGUAUCUGGAGCACCGAGCAGGAGGGCAGGACCACCCUGAUUCUCCGGCCCAGAGGGCCUCAACACCAGCUCACAAAGCUUCUGUACGCCAAAUCCCUCGAACGGCUGAGCAAAGUUCACAUUGUAUUUAGAGAAUAAAAGGUGACACACAAAUAUAAAGUGUUCCUUUGUUUACAGUAUAGCUACUGAUGGCACAACUUGUAUUUUUGCAAUGAAUGUAUUUAUAAUACUUGGUAUUUUUUGUAUUUAUUACCUCUGUCCCAGCCAGUACAUUUAAUAACUAUGAUUAAAAAGCUCUGUGGCAAUCUUUCUAGCAAUCUUUCUGACAAUAAAAGUUUAUAGAAACAGUUG